rnacentral:rRNA from 1 species
GAUGAACGCUAGCUACAGGCCUAACACAUGCAAGUCGAGGGACCGGGACAGGGGAGAGUAACACGUAAAAAAGCUGGCCUGUACUCGGGGACAGCCUUUCGAAAUAAAGAUUAAUACCUGAUGGGAAGGAUGGGGAUGCGUUAGAUUAGGGGGUGGGUUAGGUAACGGCUAACCAAGCCUUCGAUGGAUGGGGGUUCUGAGAGGAAGGCCCACCGCAUGGGAACUGAGACCCGGUCCAAACUGCUACGGGAGGCAGGAGUGAGGAAUAUUGGUCAAUGGGCGCUAGCCUGAACCUGCCAAGUAGCGUGAAGAAUGAAGGCUUAUGGAUCGUAUACUUCUUUUAUAGAAGAAUAUGUAUUAUAUGAAGAAGGAUCGGCUAACUCCGUGCCAGCAGCCGCGGUAAUUC